UCUUCUGAGUUUGGCUUGUGAAGAUCAUAGUACUACUUGUGAGCUUCUACCUGACAAGAUUCCUUCCUUCAUUCCAGCUGGUUGGAAUUGCCUACCUUUCUCCCAUUGUGUUGGCACCCAAAGUGGACGUGAAUUGGAUCCACUGGUGAACUCACCUGUGAGACAAACUUGGAGUAAAACAGACAGCACUCAGAUCUCCCAGGACUGUUUCCAGACAAGGACAAGGGACACUGAUGGAAAUAACUGCUUCCUGGCAUUGGCUCUCCCCCCAUGGGGCAGUUGAGGAGCUUCAUGAGUGGCCAUCAGCUGCCCACCCCUGCACUGCCUGAGACACACCUCCUCUCCUGGACACCUUGCUUGGAGCUGCCUAGCCCUCUGGCUGCAUUGAGCUAUCUGCAUCCUGUCCC